GACGGAGGCAGAUCAUGAAGGCAGCGCUGAGGCACGCGGCGAGACGAGCGGACGCGUCGACGAACAACGAGGAGACGAUCAAUGCAAGCGCCUGAAGACCUCAACACCUCCACCGUGCCCGUGAUGACGCAACUACGGACGCAAAGGCACACACCGUGUCGGCAGGCGGAACCAUUGAAGAGGUGUUCGCAAAGACCUGCGACGUACUCGGAAAAUGCCUAUAAAUGCACUCAUCGCUCGCAUCUCUAGCAGUUGGCAUUUUUUUACGAUGUAGGAUACUUCACGCAUGGACCACGCCUCGAUGACAGAACAUUGCUCGGCGAUCGCACGAGAGAAAAAACGUUAUACCUUAAACAUGGAAACAUUGUCAAAACCAGAUACAUUAAUCGAUACUUGGGAGCAUAAUCUUAGAAUAUCGAUUCGUAAUGCUGGAGCCGUCUCAUGUGCGUUUGAUACCAAACCUUGCAACGUACACAGACGCGGGGAAAGACAAUGCACCUACGCAAAAUACAUGAUCUUACACCCUACCCCCGCGUGCGCGCAACAGUCACACCCCCUGCAACCAUUUCACCUGAAGGCAGCUCUAUGAAACCGUCCGUCGAUCUCUCUUUGCACUUUUCAAUCUAGUCACGUUAGUUACAAAUGUCAUGGUAAUCCAACUCACUUAUGAAUACUCGAGGCUGACGUCACAAUCUCGUUGUUUCUUUAAAUGGGUCUUUCUGUAACGACUAUAGUACAACCUUCAUGAAAUAAAGUAGAAGUAUUAUUCUUGCAA